rnacentral:rRNA from 1 species
UGCAGAAUUCCGUGAAUCAUCGAGUCUUUGAACGCAAAUUGCGCCCUCGGUUUGAAGCCGGGGGCACGUCUGUCUGAGCGUCCGUUUCGUUUACGUCGAUCCGUACUCGCGCUUUCGAGCGCGCAAGUCCGGACGGCGCGUUGAGGCGUCGUCCCG